ensembl:piRNA 21ur-2345 ncRNA
UCUGCUUGAUUGUCUAUCCUA